AGUAAAAUAAGCUAAAUAAAGCUAUUGGGUUCAUACCCCAAACAUGAGGAUCCCUCUUUUACUA
rnacentral:tRNA from 1 species